GGGACAGGUUGCCAUGGUGAUCUCCUACCCCUUCCAGAUAGAACUUCUCAAGGAUGUUGCCCUUGGGCCUGAAAUAGUUCAGGCCUGCUCUCAGCUGCCGCAGGAGAAGCUGAAAUAGGGAGCCUCACUUCCUCACCUUUUCAACUCACACAAACUGAACCCUGGAGAUGAAAAGUUGCAGAACAGAGAAUAAUAUUUGUUUGGUGGAAAGUUUAUGGGAACAUUGUGACCUGACCUAUGUGGACAGCUACAAGAACAAAGGAUUCCAGCACCAAGAAGUUUUCAAUAACCACCCUCCUUCCCCUUUUAGUAUCAAAGAAGCCGCAAUUCUACUUCAGUUGCUAAGGAGUUGGCAACGGCCUGGGGAGCUCAAAGCUAUAGGUGGACGAAGGACGAGUCAGAGGUGUGCUGGUGUCCAGGCCAGGGUGAAGAUGACCGAUGAACCGCUGCCUCGGACGGCAGUGGUCUGGGCAGUGACUGAGGACACAAUGGAGGCUGCACACGGGGGCUUUGGUCCAGAAGGGGCAACAAGAUGUGCAGUCCGGAGUGGACGGAUGUGGGCAGAGAACAUGGGAGAUUCAGUCUCUUGGAAGCCCUCGGAGAGAGGCAAGAGGGGGCCAGGAACCCCAGAAAGGAGGCAGCUGGCAUUCUGCUUCCGCACUGGUGUCAGUGUUGGAUCAGAGUCUUUCUCUCUGUUGAUGGGGCCGCAUUUGGGCACACAAACAGCAGAAGCAAACCCCUGUGUGUUAUUGUGGCAGUUCUUGGAGAUUCCUGUUCACCCAUGAAUCUCUUUACUGGAGACCAUUUCUAGAGGUCAUGAUCAUUGACCUCUUGAUUGAAAGGAUUUUUUUUUUUUUCCCUCUUUUUCCCAGCAGGAGGGAAAAAGUUCCUUUAGAGGGGAAAAAAUAGUGAAAAGAAAAUUCUAGUAAGUAACAUGGAAGGCCCUUCUUGUAUGUGGUAGCUAAAUGAAUGGGUUCUCAGAGUGAGGUCAGACUUUUGGAAAAUUAAGGAAGCCCUGUUGAGGGCAGGAGUCUUCCCAGGUGUCGCUCGUGGUAAAGAAUCUACCUGCCAAUACAGGAGAUACAAGCGAUGCGGAUUUGAUCCCUGAGCUGGGAAGAUCCCCUGUAGUAGGAAAUGGCAACCUACUCCGGCAUCCUUGUCUGGAAUAUUCCAUGGGUGGAGACAGGAGCCUGGCAGGCUACGGUCCAUGGGAUUGCAAAAGAGUCAGACAUGACUGAGGACUUGUCAGCAGUGAUUCCAGGGAGGGGAGGGGCAAGAGAGGUGGAAACAGGGGACAAAACCGAGAACCCAGGACCAAAAGGCUCCCUGCCUGCCUUCUGGAGACUAAGGGUUGUAAUUUCAAAGCUGAAUUUGGAGUGAUAUUCAGUUUUUAUAUAUAGGCUUCAUAUUUGCUAUAGUUCAGCUCAGUUCAGUUCAGCCACUCAGACGUGUCUGACUCUUUAUGACCCCACGGAUUUGCCAUAGUAUUUGCAGUUAAUUAUGUUUCCUCCUCUAGUUUUGUGUUAAGAGGAAUCACUGUUGUUCCAGAUAUUUUUCUCAGAUUAAUUUGUGGGGAGCAUGUGCUAUCUGAAGUGGGGGUACCCCAAAAGGAAAUGGUACUUACCCAACACAGGGCUUCAGGUGGAUGAGCUUAGUCAUCUCACAACCUAUCUUCAAAAGUAAACAUCAAGAAAUUUUUUUUAAAUUUAUUUUUAAAUUUAUUAUUUUGAAAGAAAUUAAAAAAAAUUUUAUUUGGUUGCACUGGGUCUUAGCUGGGACAUGCAAGAUCUUUAGUUGCGGCAUGCAGACUCUUAGUUGCAGCCUGUGGGAUCUAGUUUUCUGACCAGGGAUUGGACUUGGGUCUCCUGCAUUGGGAGCGUGGAGUCUUAACCACUGGACCAUCAGGAAGUCCAAAAACCUUUUUCUUAAUUUCAAAAUAUAUUUAGGGUUACAUGAAAGAAGCAAGAUUCAGAAAGGUGAUACUGUAUAAUUCCAUUGACAUGAAGCCCAAAAACAGGUAGAAACUAAUAUAUGAUUGUAAAAAUCAGAAUAGCAGUCACCUCUGAAAGGGCUUGACUGUCAAGGGCUCAUGAAUGUUCAUGAAGAAACUAACUGGGUUGAUUAAAAUGUCUUUCAUCUUCUUUUAAAUAUGGGUGUUCUUGUUUUAUAUAUUUUUCAAAACUCAACAAAAUACACACUUAAGACUUACGUAUUUUCUGCAUACAGAUUAUAUUACAACAAUAAUUAAAAAAAAUUUUUUUAAGGUACAGUGAGCCUUCAAGUUUUAGAUGAACUAGCUUGGAUUACUGGCUCCCUUCCUUGAAAUCAAACCUGGAGAAACUAUGGAAGCCAGAAGGAAACAGACUCCAGAAUCAACGGAAAAUAACAAUGAGGCCACCAAAUUAACCACGAAUUCUCUCUGCACCUCUGCCCCUACCCCAGACGGAGGCUGCCGUGAACCUGAGUGUGGGAGGUGGGUGCCUGCAGGCUGUGAUAGACCGAGGAAGCCUGCAGUGGGGGGUGAGUCUGGAGGAAAAUGGUUUUGCUUUUUUUCUUUCUUUUUUGGAUCUGUGUGUAUAUUUGGACAACUACCUGUUUGAUCCAGACUUACUUGUUUUGGUUUAUGUGUCUCCUUUGCUUCUCCUUGCCUUCUGGUGUCUUAGAACGAAGCUUCACCUUCCCAGGGUAGGUACCUGUUGCAGGAAAAAUAGGGCACCGGAUGAUGGUCAUGUCCCAGGUCUCGGGCAAGUCCACAGGAUAGGCUGCCA
ensembl:lincRNA